GUGAAUCAUCGAAUUUUUGAACGCAAAUUGCGCUUCCUAGCAUCCCGGGUAGUAUGCCUGUUUGAGGGUCAGUAUUAACAAAAAAAUCGGUUUGGUUGCAAAUUUUGACGUUUCCGGGGUUUGUGCUUAUCUUAACUUUUUUGGUUAAUGGGCUUAAAAUUGACCUUUGUUGCGCAUUUUUAGACGUACAUAAUUGUUUUUUUAUUCGUCUGUUCGUUAGGCCAAAAUCUUAUUAGAUUC
rnacentral:misc_RNA from 1 species